UGCCAAACAGCUAGCCCCGCCCCCAAAUUCAACAAUAGUUAUUAAUAAACCCACAACCCCUGACCCCACUUACAAAUAAAACAUUCUCCCACCUAAGUAUGGGCGACAAAAAAGGAACAAUGGAGCUACAGAUAAAGUACCGCAAGGGAAUGCUGAAAAAGAAAUGAAAUAACUCAGUUAAGCAGAAAAAAGCAGAGCUUGACCCUCGUACCUUUUGCAUCAUGACUUAGCCAGUCAACUACAAGCAAAAAGCCUUUUAGUUUGUAACCCCGAAACUAAGUGAGCUACUCCAAGACAGUCUAUAAGGACCAACCCUUCUCUGUGGCAAAAGAGUGGGAAGAUCUUAGAGUAGAGGUGACAGACCUACCGAACUUAGUCAUAGCUGGUUGCCUGAGAAAUGAAUAGAAGUUCAGCCCCUUAAACAUUCUCCCCUACUAACGACUCAGACACCGUCCGGCCCCGAAUGAUUAAUGGAGUUAUUUAAAGGGGGUACAGCCCCUUUAAACUAAGAAACAACUUUAUCAGGUGAGUAAAGAUCAUAAUUAAAAAGGUAAGUGUUUUAGUGGGCCUAAAAGCAGCCACCUAGUAAGAAAGCGUUAAAGCUCAAACACACAUAAGCCAAAUAAUACAGAUGACAUCUCCGAGCCCCCUAACCCUAUCAGGCCACCCCAUGCCCUCCCCCAUGGAAGUGACCCUGCUAAGAUGAGUAAUCAGGGGUACGAACCCCUCCUAGCACACAUGUAUAUCGGAACGGACCCCCCACCGAACCUUACCGGCCCCAACCAAAGAGGGUACUGAAUACUAAAUAAACAACAAGAAAAAAUCUCAAAGAAACCCGUUAACCCCACACUGGUGUGCCCACUAGGAAAGACUAAAAGAAAAAGAAGGAACUCGGCAAACACAAGCCUCGCCUGUUUACCAAAAACAUCGCCUCUUGUCAACUAAAAAUAAGAGGUCCCGCCUGCCCUGUGACAAAAGUUUAACGGCCGCGGUAUUUUGACCGUGCAAAGGUAGCGUAAUCACUUGUCUUUUAAAUGAAGACCUGUAUGAAAGGCAUAACGAGGGCUUAACUGUCUCCUUUCUCCAGUCAAUGAAAUUGAUCCCCCCGUGCAGAAGCGGGGAUACAAACAUAAGACGAGAAGACCCUGUGGAGCUUUAGACGUUAAAACAGCUUUUGUCAAAACUUUCCCCUAAAGAAAGUCAACUUAAAACCCCUGUUUUCCUGUCUUUGGUUGGGGCGACCGCGGGGUAACAAACAACCCCCACGUGGACUGAAAGUAUACUUUCACAACCAAGAGCCACAGCUCUAAGUAACAGAACUUCUGACCUUUAGAUCCGGCAAGGCCGAUCAACGAACCAAGUUACCCCAGGGAUAACAGCGCAAUCCUCUUUUAGAGCCCAUAUCGACAAGAGGGUUUACGACCUCGAUGUUGGAUCAGGACAUCCUAAUGGUGCAGCCGCUAUUAAGGGUUCGUUUGUUCAACGAUAAUAGUCCU
rnacentral:rRNA from 1 species